AUUGAACGCUGGCGGCAUGCUUUACACAUGCAAGUCGAACGGUAACAGGCCGCAAGGUGCUGACGAGUGGCGAACGGGUGAGUAAUGUAUCGGAACGUGCCCAGUCGUGGGGGAUAACGCAGCGAAAGCUGUGCUAAUACCGCAUACGAUCUAUGGAUGAAAGCGGGGGACCGUAAGGCCUCGUGCGAUUGGAGCGGCCGAUAUCAGAUUAGGGAGUUGGUGGGGUAAAGGCUCACCAAGCCGACGAUCUGUAGCGGGUCUGAGAGGACGACCAGCCACACUGGGACUGAGACACGGCCCAGACUCCUACGGGAGGCAGCAGUGGGGAAUUUUGGACAAUGGGCGCAAGCCUGAUCCAGCAAUGCCGCGUGCAGGACGAAGGCCUUCGGGUUGUAAACUGCUUUUGUACGGAGCGAAACGGCUCUCUCUAAUAAAGGGAGCUAAUGACGGUACCGUAAGAAUAAGCACCGGCUAACUACGUGCCAGCCGCCGCCGUAACAC
rnacentral:rRNA from 1 species